CAGGUGGUCAGGUAGAGAAUACCAAGGCGCUUGAGAGAACUCGGGUGAAGGAACUAGGCAAAAUGGUGCCGUAACUUCGGGAGAAGGCACGCUGACACGUAGGUGAAGUGAUUUACUCAUGGAGCUGAAGUCAGUCGAAGAUACCAGCUGGCUGCAACUGUUUAUUAAAAACACAGCACUGUGCAAACACGAAAGUGGACGUAUACGGUGUGACGCCUGCCCGGUGCCGGAAGGUUAAUUGAUGGGGUCAGCGCAAGCGAAGCUCCUGAUCGAAGCCCCGGUAAACGGCGGCCGUAACUAUAACGGUCCUAAGGUAGCGAAAUUCCUUGUCGGGUAAGUUCCGACCUGCACGAAUGGCGUAAUGAUGGCCAGGCUGUCUCCACCCGAGACUCAGUGAAAUUGAACUCGCUGUGAAGAUGCAGUGUACCCGCGGCAAGACGGAAAGACCCCGUGAACCUUUACUAUAGCUUGACACUGAACAUUGAGCCUUGAUGUGUAGGAUAGGUGGGAGGCUUUGAAGUGUGGACGCCAGUCUGCAUGGAGCCGACCUUGAAAUACCACCCUUUAAUGUUUGAUGUUCUAACGUGGACCCGUGAUCCGGGUUGCGGACAGUGUCUGGUGGGUAGUUUGACUGGGGCGGUCUCCUCCUAAAGAGUAACGGAGGAGCACGAAGGUUGGCUAAUCCUGGUCGGACAUCAGGAGGUUAGUGCAAUGGCAUAAGCCAGCUUGACUGCGAGCGUGACGGCGCGAGCAGGUGCGAAAGCAGGUCAUAGUGAUCCGGUGGUUCUGAAUGGAAGGGCCAUCGCUCAACGGAUAAAAGGUACUCCGGGGAUAACAGGCUGAUACCGCCCAAGAGUUCAUAUCGACGGCGGUGUUUGGCACCUCGAUGUCGGCUCAUCACAUCCUGGGGCUGAAGUAGGUCCCAAGGGUAUGGCUGUUCGCCAUUUAAAGUGGUACGCGAGCUGGGUUUAGAACGUCGUGAGACAGUUCGGUCCCUAUCUGCCGUGGGCGCUGGAGAACUGAGGGGGGCUGCUCCUAGUACGAGAGGACCGGAGUGGACGCAUCACUGGUGUUCGGGUUGUCAUGCCAAUGGCACUGCCCGGUAGCUAAAUGCGGAAGAGAUAAGUGCUGAAAGCAUCUAAGCACGAAACUUGCCCCGAGAUGAGUUCUCCCUGAGACUUUAGGUCUCCUGAAGGAACGUUGAAGACGACGACGUUGAUAGGCCGGGUGUGUAAGCGCAGCGAUGCGUUGAGCUAACCGGUACUAAUGAACCGUGAGGCUUAACCUUACAACGCCGAAG
rnacentral:rRNA from 3 species